rnacentral:lncRNA from 1 species
GGGGUUCCAUGCUUUUGUUCACUUUCCCAUAUCCUUCUAUCAUCAAACCCAUGAAACCCAUAUCAUUAUCCUUCUAUCAUCAAACAAUCAAACCAUAAGACUAUCUGCCACCGUAUGGUAUAAACUAUAAAGGCAUAAAUAGCCUAUUACUCUCUCCCAUGGUAAGGCAUUCUACAAUUCCCAAGAAAAUUUUUUGCCGUAUGGUUUAUAGUCCAAGUCAUAUAUGGCUUGCAAUCAGCUUUGCUUUCUUUACACCAAUAGGCCGAUGAGGUGAGGCAAGUUCAUCACUAAACAGCUCUUGUUCGUCUUCAUCUGCAUUCAAAUCGACAUCAAAUGGUAAUGUACCUGACGAUUGUGAUGUGCGAGACGUUGAUUCAUAUCCUUCACUUGAGUAAUUUUUUUGUCGUGGUUUAGUUGAACUUCUACCAUUAUCGGUCCAUUUUUCAGCAUCCUUGAGAAUAGGCCACACAUGAUCAAAUUGAAGCUUCUUCUUUGUAUAGUUAGGAUCAUCUAGUAGAUGCUGUUUUGCUGAAGCAAUCAGUGUCCGUUAUACUAAUGUCCUCAAUUCAUGUAGUACUAUAUAUUCCCAAAAAAAAAAAAAAAAAAUGUAGUACCAUACUGUAGAAAUAAUAAUAAUAAUACACGUAUCCACAGAAAAUGUAUUCAAUCAAAUUGGCAAUUAUAUAAAAUUGAUUAUCUU